rnacentral:tRNA from 1 species
GGCGCCGUGGCUUAGUUGGUUAAAGCGCCUGUCUAGUAAACAGGAGAUCACGAGUUCGAAUCUCUUUGGUGCCU